GAGUGCCUGCCGCACCGCUCGAGCCACGAAUAUGAAGGUCUAGAUCCUGUUAUUGGGAAUACUGCAGACCUGGCCAUGGGUCCUCGAAGGUGGCUUCCAAGAGGCAUAGUUCGAGACAAAAUCUGAGAGCUUCAGGAUCAACUACUCAAGUGGAGACAAGAGCUUGCGGACGACCCCUUCUCCUUGUUGUGGGGAGGGAU